AUGUGGUCUUGCCUCUUCAAACCUCUUCAAGCUCCACUUCUCCACUUCUAAACCUGCACAUCUUCAAACCUCAUAACCCUAGCCCCAUCUCCACUUCUCCAGCCGAGACCUCACCUCCUCCGCUUCCCCCUCCACCUCCGCCACACCUCUGCCUCCCCUCCGUUACACCCUCUCCAAACCCUAGCAUACUUCUCCUAGCCACACCUCACCUCCUCCGCCACCACCACAUCUCCCGCCACCACCUCCACUUACUCCGCCUCCGACACCACCUCCGCAUCUGAUCUGCUGCGUCAUCGACCUGCUGCCUCCGACCUCCGACCUCCGCCUUCGACCUGCUGCCUCCGCCUCCGACCUGCUGCCUGCCUCCCCUUUGACCUGCUGCCUCCACCUCCGACCUGGUAUGUUCAUUUUUACUGCAGAGGUUUGGUCCAGCUCUUCUGCUACAGAUGUUUGCAGAUGUGGUCCGCAGACUGCAGACGUUUCACCUCAGAAAAAACAAAGAGCACCUUAUCACAUGUGAAAAAUAGCUCUAACACUACCAUAAAUGUAUUACAUGUUGCGUAAUUAAUGAUUACAUGUGUGAAGUGGUUCUAAUCAAACUAUUGUUAGAUAAAAAAAAUAAAAUAGAGACGUAAACGUCUAAACCAUCAUGCUGGCUUAUGUAAUUUGCUUAAUGUGAACUUAUGUCCAUAUCAAGAAUAACAUUUGUUCUUCUUUUACCGG
rnacentral:lncRNA from 1 species